AGAGUUUGAUCCUGGCUCAGGAUGAACGCUAGCGGCAGGCCUAACACAUGCAAGUCGAGGGGCAGCAUAAAACAAGCUUGCUUGUUUGGUGGCGACCGGCGCACGGGUGCGUAACGCGUAUGCAACCUACCCUGUACUGGGGGAUAGCCCGGAGAAAUUCGGAUUAAGACCCCAUAGUAUAUGUUGAUCGCAUGGUUGAUGUAUUAAAGGUUACGGUACAGGAUGGGCAUGCGUCCUAUUAGCUUGUUGGUGAGGUAACGGCUCACCAAGGCAACGAUAGGUAGGGGGCCUGAGAGGGUGGUCCCCCACACUGGUACUGAGACACGGACCAGACUCCUACGGGAGGCAGCAGUGAGGAAUAUUGGUCAAUGGGCGCAAGCCUGAACCAGCCAUGCCGCGUGCAGGAAGAAUGCCCUAUGGGUUGUAAACUGCUUUUAUUUAGGAAUAAACCCCUUUACGUGUAGAGGGCUGAAGGUACUAAAUGAAUAAGCACCGGCUAACUCCGUGCCAGCAGCCGCGGUAAUACGGAGGGUGCAAGCGUUAUCCGGAAUCAUUGGGUUUAAAGGGUCCGCAGGCGGGUUUAUAAGUCAGUGGUGAAAUCCUAUCGCUUAACGAUAGAACUGCCAUUGAUACUGUAGGUCUUGAAUUCGGUCGAAGUGGGCGGAAUGUGUAGUGUAGCGGUGAAAUGCAUAGAUAUUACACAGAACACCGAUAGCGAAGGCAGCUCACUAGGCCUGGAUUGACGCUCAGGGACGAAAGCGUGGGGAUCAAACAGGAUUAGAUACCCUGGUAGUCCACGCUGUAAACGAUGAUUACUCGUUUUCGGCGAUAUACUGUCGGAGACUAAGCGAAAGUGAUAAGUAAUCCACCUGGGGAGUACGAUCGCAAGGUUGAAACUCAAAGGAAUUGACGGGGGCCCGCACAAGCGGUGGAGCAUGUGGUUUAAUUCGAUGAUACGCGAGGAACCU
rnacentral:rRNA from 1 species